GGAUGUGAGGGCAAUCUGGCUGUGACAUCUGGCACCCCAUUGAUCACCAGGGUUGAUUUGGCUACUCUGGCUGGCUAGGUGGGUGUCUAUUUUCUUCCUCUCUGUUUUGUGUGUGACCCUCCUGAAGCUGCACCCUUGGUCAAAGAGAACAACCUUCCCCAGUAGAGGAGUACAGUUUUUCAGUCAGAGGUAUAUGAAUAGCAGUGCGCUCCUGCCAAAACAAGCUUUUAAGGUCCACAACAUACUUUUAUGGAAAUGAUUUGCCUAACUUUUUACUU
rnacentral:snRNA from 1 species